UGUCGGGUCUUAUUGACUUGGUAACGCAGCUAACGCGUGAAGUAGACCGCCUGGGGAGUACGGUCGCAAGAUUAAAACUCAAAGGAAUUGACGGGGACCCGCACAAGCGGUGGAUGAUGUGGAUUAAUUCGAUGCAACGCGAAAAACCUUACCUACCCUUGACAUGUACAGAAUCCCGAAGAGAUUUGGGAGUGUUCGAAAGAAAACUGUAACACAGGUGCUGCAUGGCUGUCGUCAGCUCGUGUCGUGAGAUGUUGGGUUAAGUCCCGCAACGAGCGCAACCCUUGUCAUUAGUUGCUACGAAAGGGCACUCUAAUGAGACUGCCGGUGACAAACCGGAGGAAGGUGGGGAUGACGUCAAGUCCUCAUGGCCCUUAUGGGUAGGGCUUCACACGUCAUACAAUGGUACAUACAGAGGGCCGCCAACCCGCGAGGGGGAGCUAAUCCCAGAAAGUGUAUCGUAGUCCGGAUUGUAGUCUGCAACUCGACUACAUGAAGUUGGAAUCGCUAGUAAUCGCGGAUCAGCAUGUCGCGGUGAAUACGUUCCCGGGUCUUGCACUCACCGCCCGUCA
rnacentral:rRNA from 1 species